AGCGGUGGAGCAUGUGGCUUAAUUCGACGCAACGCGAAGAACCUUACCAAGGCUUGACAUACACCGGAAACGUCUGGAGACAGGCGCCCCCUUGUGGUCGGUGUACAGGUGGUGCAUGGCUGUCGUCAGCUCGUGUCGUGAGAUGUUGGGUUAAGUCCCGCAACGAGCGCAACCCUUGUCCCGUGUUGCCAGCAGGCCCUUGUGGUGCUGGGGACUCACGGGAGACCGCCGGGGUCAACUCGGAGGAAGGUGGGGACGACGUCAAGUCAUCAUGGCCUUUAUGUCCAGGGCUACACACGUGCUACAAUGGCCGGUACAAACCGCUGCAAGAGCGCAAGCUGGAGCAAAUCGGAUAAAGCCGGUCUCAGUUCGGAUUGGGGUCUGCAACUCGACCCCAUGAAGCUGGAAUCGCUAGUAAUCGCGGAUCAGCACGCCGCGGUGAAUACGUUCCCGGGC
rnacentral:rRNA from 1 species